GAAAAAUGUACAUAAGUGUGGUGAUGUUUCAUGUCACAUUACAUCUCUGAUGGGCAUCUUUUGGGACAGAUACAAACGUAUGUUGAAGUUCAGUACAUGUACUGUAACAAUGUAAUACUCGUUUACAGAUUUCUGAAGUUCCCCAGAUAAAACCUCCUGACAAAAACCUUCCAGAUGAUUUACUUGGCCUGCUACGUCAUCUGCGUAACUUACUGGUGCACAACAAAAAAGCUUUUGACGACAACAACAUGUUUAAAGAUCUGUUCCCGGACUUCUUCAUCAGUGCACACAAGCUGGCGAAGACGAUGGGUUGGAUUGCUUGAGGGCCCCUCAUGAGAAGAUGCACUGAUGAAAUGCAAUUAUAAUUCUGCAGCUUCUGUUUUAUAUUCCAGAUUUUUUUAUAUUUUAGCAUAUAUGGCAACUAUUGCAUAUGUCCCAUAAUCAGGGAGCUUCACAUUCAAAUCAUUUUACAGUUACAUAACUGUAAAUGGAUUAUUCAUUGAGUGGUACAGUAUAGAAAGCAGGGUUCAAAGGGACAAAGAAACCUCACGAUAAGUUAAGCAGACGCCACUGUACUCAGCGUCCUAGAUACUGAGGGCCCAAUCCCAUUUCUUAUUUUU
ensembl:lncRNA